rnacentral:rRNA from 1 species
ACACGUAGGGGCCUGACGUUGUCCGGAAUGAUUGGGCGUAAAGGGCGCGUAGGCGGCCCGGUAAGUCUGGAGUGAAAGUCCUGCUUUUAAGGUGGGAAUUGCUUUGGAUACUGUCGGGCUUGAGUGCAGGAGAGGUAAGUGGAAUUCCCAGUGUAGCGGUGAAAUGCGUAGAGAUUGGGAGGAACACCAGUGGCGAAGGCGACUUACUGGACUGUAACUGACGCUGAGGCGCGAAAGUGUGGGGAGCAAACAGGAUUAGAUACCCCGGUAGUCCUGGCCGUAAACGAUGAAUGCUAGGUGUGGGUGUCGAGAGGCAUCCGUGCCGGAGUUAACGCGAUAAGCAUUCCGCCUGGGGAGUACGAUCGCAAGAUUGAAACUCAAAGGAAUUGACGGGG